UACCAUCAGAUCUGCUGGGUCAUUAGACUGAAAUUGCAGAGUCGCCUGUACUGCAGCCCGAGCUUGAUAUGCAGUUCUCACUUGUUUUGAUACUUACCGUCAUAUGACCACCUCUUGGGUUACUGAGCAAAUUGGCCAGGAUGGAACACCCAGACAUUUCUUCCAAAAUCAAAGAGGCAGAUGUGUGGAAGAGAGGGACCAGCUCAUCUUUCUUCAAAGCCUUUGUCCCAAAGAUUCAGAAGCGUGGGGCAAAACCCCAGGGGAAGAAAGCUGAAUGCGGGCAGAGGGUGAGGAACAGGAAAGAUGUCCCCGACAUCAGAGAGAAGAUAAACGCUAGAAUCAACACACGCCCCCACAGAGAGCAGCAUACCACUGUAUAGAUAGCUAUGAUGUCUUUACUCCCCUGCUGAUGGACGUUUGGGUUGAUUAUACCCCCCAAGACCAGACAAAAGAUAAACACUUGAAAUAAAUAA